rnacentral:rRNA from 1 species
UACGUAGGGGGCGAGCGUUGUCCGGAAUCAUUGGGCGUAAAGAGCGUGUAGGCGGCUUGGCAAGUCUGACGUGAAAGCCCGCGGCUCAACCGCGGAUUGUCGUUGGAAACUGCCUCGCUAGAGUCCGGAAGAGGAGAGCGGAAUUCCUGGUGUAGCGGUGGAAUGCGCAGAUAUCAGGAAGAACACCCGUGGCGAAGGCGGCUACCUGGACAAUUGCUGACGCUCAGGCACGAAAGCGUGGGGAGCAAAAGGG